rnacentral:rRNA from 1 species
UUUAAUGGAGAGUUUGAUCCUGGCUCAGGACGAACGCUGGCGGCGUGCCUAAUACAUGCAAGUCGAGCGGGGUUAGUUAGAAGCUUGCUUCUAACUAACCUAGCGGCGGACGGGUGAGUAACACGUAGGCAACCUGCCCACAAGACAGGGAUAACUACCGGAAACGGUAGCUAAUACCCGAUACAUCCUUUUCC